GAUGAUGGCAAAAUUACCAUCUGGUGUGCACUGGGAUGUGACAAAUAAAGGCUGCAGAGAAAGCAACUUGAGGAAGCAGAUUGCAUUGUAGGUCCUGCAGGUGACACAAACUCCCCUUAUUGGCUGUGCCCUGUGGUGCAGUGAUUGCAGCCCCCUGCCCAGCUGCAGCCACUCUCUCUGAUUGCUUGGCUCCUCUGGCCUGGACUGCACAGCUGUGGGUGAUGAGCUGAACCACCCCCCAGGUUUAGAGGCAGACAUUUUAGAUGUGGUCUUUGUGUGGUGGAGCUGAGCUACUUCUAGCAGCUGGCACUCACGACUGCUGGCUCGGCUGCUCCAAGGCAGUGCUGUGGCAGUGUGGAUGGAAGGACAAAAUCUGCCCUGAAAAGGACUUUCUCAUCCUCACCGGCAGUCACUUCUCUCUGCCAACACGUGGCACGUGCAAGUGACAGCAGCAGGAGGAAGCUACAGAGGGGCCAGGAUCAAAAUCUCUAGGACCAACAUGCAGCAGACGAGGUUGGAGGCAAGAAUUUCACACCAGGUGCAAAACUGCACACCUGGACAAAUCCCUGCUAUCCACAUCAACUCCUUCCUCCCCCACCUACAAGAAAUUACAGCCAAACCACCAAGUACGGAUGCUAUUCUUGUUUGCCUUCACAUAGUACUACAGGAUGAGGCAUUGUAAAGAGAAGACAGAAUAUCUGGGAAAUAAAGAGAAUUUGGAAUCUGACCUGUUUAAAACUCGAUGCAUUUGCUCAGCUUUUACAGCAGCCCAAACAGAUGUGCUUAAAACUUCAGCUGAACCAAUUUUGUUUUCCUCAUACAGCAAAGUUUCAGAACGAGGGUAUGAAAAAGAAGACAACCUGCUACACUCAUCAGCCAUUGGACAGCAUUCAGUCCCUAAAGCUCAGCUGGAGAUUAUGAACCUCAGCAGAUUUCAUCCCGACCAAAU